rnacentral:snRNA from 11 species
AGCUUUGCGCAGUGGCAGUAUCGUAGCCAAUGAGGUUUAUCCGAGGCGCGAUUAGUGCUGAUUGAAAAUGCCAGAAAGG